CCUACGGUGGGCAGCAGUCGAGAAUCAUUCACAAUGGGGGAAACCCUGAUGGUGCGACGCCGCGUGGGGUAAUGAAGGUCUUCGGAUUGUAAACCCCUGUCAUGUGGGAGCAAAUUAAAAAGAUAGUACCACAAGAGGAAGAGACGGCUAACUCUGUGCCAGCAGCCGAGGUAAUACAGAGGUCUCAAGCGUUGUUCGGAAUCACUGGGCGUAAAGCGUGCGUAGGCUGUUUCGUAAGUCGUGUGUGAAAGGCGCGGGCUCAACCCGCGGACGGCACAUGAUACUGCGAGACUAGAGUAAUGGAGGGGUAACUGGAAUUCUCGGUGUAGCAGUGAAAUGCGUAGAUAUCGAGAGGAACACUCGUGGCGAAGGCGGGUUCCUGGACAUUAACUGACGCUGAGGCACGAAGGCCAGGGGAGCGAAAGGGAUUAGAUACCCUUGUAGUC
rnacentral:rRNA from 1 species